GACGAACGCUGGCGGCGUGCUUAACACAUGCAAGUCGAACGGAAAGGCCCUGCUUUUGUGGGGUGCUCGAGUGGCGAACGGGUGAGUAACACGUGAGUAACCUGCCCUUGACUUUGGGAUAACUUCAGGAAACUGGGGCUAAUACCGGAUAGGAGCUCCUGCUGCAUGGUGGGGGUUGGAAAGUUUCGGCGGUGGGGGCUGGACUCGCGGCUUAUCGGCUUGUUGGUGGGGUAGUGGCUUACCAAGGCUUUGACGGGUAGCCCGCCUGAGAGGGUGACCGGCCACCUUGGGCCUGAGAUACGGCCCAGACUCCUACGGGAGGCAGCAGUGGGGAAUAUUGCACAAUGGGCGGAAGCCUGAUGCAGCAACGCCGCGUGCGGGAUGACGGCCUUCGGGUUGUAAACCGCUUUCGCCUGUGACGAAGCGUGAGUGACGGUAAUGGGUAAAGAAGCACCGGCUAACUACGUG
rnacentral:rRNA from 1 species